UCCGGUUGAUCCUGCCRGACCCGACUGCUAUCAGAGUGAGAUUAAGCCAUGCGAGUUAACGUAGCAAUACGUGGCGCACGGCUCAGUAACACGUAGUCAACAUGCCCAGAGGACGUGGAUAACCUCGGGAAACUGAGUCUAAACCGCGAUAAGUGAGGAUUUCUGGAAUGGUUCCUGACUAAAAUCUAUAUGGCCUCUGGAUUGGACUGCGGCCGAUCAGGCUGUUGGUGAGGUAAUGGCCCACCAAACCUGUAACCGGUACGGGCUCUGAGAGGAGGAGCCCGGAGAUGGGCACUGAGACAAGGGCCCAGGCCCUAUGGGGCGCAGCAGGCGCGAAACCUCUGCAAUAGGCGAAAGCCUGACAGGGUUACUCUGAGUGACUUUCGCUAAGAAAGUCUUUUGGCACCUCUAAAAAGGGUGCAGAAUAAGGGGUGGGCAAGUCUGGUGUCAGCCGCCGCGGUAAUACCAGCACCCCGAGUGGUCGGGACGAUUAUUGGGCCUAAAGCAUCCGUAGCCGGUUCUGCAAGUCCCCCGUUAAAUCCAGCUGCUCAACAGAUGGGCCGCGGAGGAUAUUACAGAGCUAGGAGGCAGGAGAGGCAAGCGGUACUCAGUGGGUAGGGGUAAAAUCCGUUGAUCCAUUGAAGACCACCAGUGGCGAAGGCGGCUUGCCAGAAUGCGCUCGACGGUGAGGGAUGAAAGCUGGGGGAGCAAACCGGAUUAGAUACCCGGGUAGUCCCAGCCGUAAACGAUGCAGACUCGGUGAUGGGUUGGCUUCGCGCUAACCCAGUGCCGCAGGGAAGCCGUUAAGUCUGCCGCCUGGGUAGUACGGUCGCAAGACUGAAACUUAAAGGAAUUGGCGGGGGAGCACCACAAGGGGUGAAGCCUGCGGUUCAAUUGGAKUCAACGCCGGRA
rnacentral:rRNA from 1 species